rnacentral:snoRNA from 1 species
GAGACUGUACUUCUCAGGAUCAUUUCUGUAGUACGGUUUCCCGGUGGGGGUUCCACCUUGCUCGCCAAAGCACCCGCGAUGACGAGCAGAAGCGUCGUCCCCUGAGCGUGAAGCUCGCCGGGGGCGUCGCCAGUUUUGGUGAUCGCCCGGC